GGGGGGCAGGAGGUCGCGCCGCAAGGUGAGGAAAGUCCGGGCUCCAGAGGGCAGGGUGCCACCUAACAGGUGGGCGCUGCAAGGCGACGGAUAGGGUCACAGAAACGAGACAGCCGAUGGCCUUUGGCACAGGCUAAGGUGAAACCGUGGGGUAAGAGCCCACGACGCGUAGGGGCAACCUUACGCGUGGCAACCCCCACCCGGAGCAAGGCCAAAAAGGGACCGGCUGGCCCGGCCAAUGGUCCCAGGUAGGCCGCAGUAGACAGGAGAGCAAUCUCCUGUACAGAUAAAUGACCUCCCUUGACAGAACCCGGCUUACAGCCCCCCUCU
rnacentral:RNase_P_RNA from 1 species